UGAUGAGUUGAGAACAGUAGUUAUACACCCUUUCUUUUACAUAUAUCAAAACAUUCUAGGCUGGGCACGGUGGCAGUGGCUCAGAGCUGUAAUCCCAGUACUUUGGGAAGCCAAGGUGGGCAGAUCACCUGAGCUCAGGAGCUUGAGACCAGUCUGGGGGGCAACAUGGAAAAACCCUGUCUCUACGAAAAAUACAAAAAUUAGGCUGGGCACGGUGGCUCACGCCUGUAAUCCCAGCACUUUGGGAGGCCGAGGUGGGCGGAUCACGAGGUCAGGAGU
rnacentral:lncRNA from 10 species